rnacentral:tRNA from 1 species
GCGCAGGUGGUGAAAUUGGUAUACACGCUACUUUGAGGGGGUAGUGGCUUCACGGCCGUGUGAGUUCGAGUCUCAUCCUGCGCA